rnacentral:rRNA from 1 species
UGAGGAAUUUUGCGCAAUGGGAGCAAUCCUGACGCAGCAACGCCGCGUGGGUGAUGAAGGCCUUCGGGUCGUAAAGCCCUGUCAGGUGGGAAGAAUGUCCCGGGACUGAACAGGUUUCGGGAGUGACGGUACCACCAGAGGAAGCACCGGCUAACUCCGUGCCAGCAGCCGCGGUAAUACGGAGGGUGCAAGCGUUAUUCGGAAUUAUUGGGUUUAAAGGGUGCGUAGGUGGCUUUUUAAGUCAGUGGUGAAAUACAGCCGCUCAACGGUUGAGGUGCCAUUGAUACUGAAGAGCUUGAAACAAGUGGAGGCUGCCGGAAUGGAUGGUGUAGCGGUGAAAUGCAUAGAUAUCAUCCAGAACACCGAUUGCGAAGGCAGGUGGCUACGUUUGAUUUGACACUGAGGCACGAAAGCAUGGGGAGCAAACA